rnacentral:rRNA from 1 species
CAAAAACAUUACCUUAUGAUAUAUAAAUAUAAGGCAACUCCUGCCCAGUGAUAAAAUUUUCAACGGCCGCGGUAUCCUAACCGUGCAAAGGUAGCAUAAUAAUUUGCCUAUUAAUUGUAGGCUAGAAUGAAAGGAAAAACGAAAUAUGAACUGUCUAAAUUAAUAUAAUAUAAACUAUUAUCUAAUUGAAGAAAAUUAAAUAAAAUUGAAGGACAAGAAGACCCUGUAGAGCUUUAUUUGAAAAAGUUUAAACUUUUAUAAUUUGGUUGGGGCGACCUAAGAUUACAUAAAUCACCUUAAAAAAAAAGAUAUAUAAAUCCUGAAAAAGACCCUAAAUAAAGAUCACUAAACAUAGCUACCUCAGGGAUAACAGGCUAAUUAACCAAAGAGUUCUUAUCUGCGGGUAGAUUGGCACCUCGAUGUUGGCUUAGGAAUACAUAAUGGCGCAAAAUACAUUAAAAGUUGGUUUGUUCAACCAAUAACGUCCUACGUGAUCU